rnacentral:rRNA from 1 species
GGAGUUAGCCGGUGCUUCUUCUGUGAGUGAUGUCCUUCCUGCCGGCUAUUAACCCGCAGGCCUUCUUCCUCACUGAAAGUGCUUUACAACCCGAAGGCCUUCUUCACACACGCGGCAUGGCUGGAUCAGGGUUGCCCCCAUUGUCCAAUAUUCCCCACUGCUGCCUCCCGUAGGAGUCUGGGCCGUGUCUCAGUCCCAGUGUGGCUGAUCAUCCUCUCAGACCAGCUACGGAUCGUCGCCUUGGUGAGCCGUUACCUCACCAACCAGCUAAUCCGACAUAGGCUCAUCCGAUAGCGCGAGGCCCGAAGGUCCCCCGCUUUCCCCCGUAGGGCGUAUGCGGUAUUAGCCUGGGUUUCCCCAGGUUAUCCCCCACUACCGGGCAGAUUCCUAUGCAUUACUCACCCGUCCGUCGCUCGCCACCAGGGAGCAAGCUCCCCGUGCUGCCGCUCGACUUGCAUGUGUUAGGCCUGCCGCCAGCGUUCAAUCUGAGCCAUGAUCAAACUCUGA